ensembl:rRNA 5S_rRNA 5S ribosomal RNA
UGCAGGGGCUAUACCACCCUGAAUGUUCCUGAUCUCAUCUGAUCUCGGAAGCUAAGCAGGGUCAGGGGUCAGGCCUGGUUAGUACUUGGAU